rnacentral:tRNA from 1 species
GCCUGGUUGGCUCAGUAGGUAGGGCGUGUGACUCUUGAUCUCAGGGUCAUGAGUUCAAGCCCCAUGUUGGGGCG